rnacentral:rRNA from 1 species
UGGGGAAUUUUGGACAAUGGGCGAAAGCCUGAUCCAGCAAUGCCGCGUGUGUGAAGAAGGCCUUCGGGUUGUAAAGCACUUUUGUCCGGAAAGAAAUCCUUGGCUCUAAUACAGUCGGGGGAUGACGGUACCGGAAGAAUAAGCACCGGCUAACUACGUGCCAGCAGCCGCGGUAAUACGUAGGGUGCAAGCGUUAAUCGGAAUUACUGGGCGUAAAGCGUGCGCAGGCGGUUUGCUAAGACCGAUGUGAAAUCCCCGGGCUCAACCUGGGAACUGCAUUGGUGACUGGCAGGCUAGAGUAUGGCAGAGGGGGGUAGAAUUCCACGUGUAGCAGUGAAAUGCGUAGAGAUGUGGAGGAAUACCGAUGGCGAAGGCAGCCCCCUGGGCCAAUACUGACGCUCAUGCACGAAAGCGUGGGGAGCAAACAGGAUUAGAUACCCUGGUAGUCCACGCCCUAAACGAUGUCAACUAGCUGUUGGGGACUUCAUUUCCUUAGUAACGUAGCUAACGCGUG